UUCACCUCCUGUGUCGUGAACUGCAAAAGAAAAGGAGAGAAAGAGAGUUUUGUGUGAGAAAGAGGGAGAGGUUGAAGUUUGGUGAAGGAAAACAGAGGUAGAAAGGACAUGUUUUGGUAGAACAGAGUUUCGGUGUAUCAAAUCGCUUUCAAAGGUGACUAAAUUUUCAGGGAUCGUAGACGCGAUUUAGACCAUUGUGUGUUCAAAGAGAGAUUGCGAGCGAAUCCUUUGUUUGAUCGUCACGAAAUUUUGAGAGUAGCUUCAGGACACCUAGGUAAAGGUUUUCAACGGUGGGAUUUGAAAGUGGACGGUUAGAUGUUGUUUCGUGGUCCAAUCUUUCAGGUUGAUAAUUCUGUGAUUUUCCCAGAAUUUUACAGUUGGGUUUAAUUGAUGUUUUUAUCGUUGUGGUUGGCAAUUAGGGUGAUUUGAGAUACUGUUGACGUGAGGAAGAAGUCAAUUGUGGUUGUAUGGUGUUGUUAUUGUUCAAAAAUCAUCCUAAGCUGAGGUAAAGAUAAAGUGUGAUCAUGGAAUCAUGGCGAGGAGAGGAGGAUGAUCUAGGGUCUCGUUGGUGUUAGUUUAUUAUUUUUAGUAUGAUAGAAUUUUGGAUUAGAAGUUGUUAGAAUUGUUAGAUAAUUUCUUGGUUUAUUUUGGUUAAAUUAAAAUAAGUUGAAUUUGGAUU